GCAGUUAGCUCAGUUGGUUAGAGCGUGGUGCUAAUAACGCCAAGGUCGCGAGUUCGACCCUCGUAGUGACCA
rnacentral:tRNA from 1 species